CUGAGAAGGUUAAGAACUUCUAUAUAUUGGCUUUGCUAGAACAACAAAGUCCUUACAGAAUCUUACCAAGAAAGGCGUCGGAGGUCCCAGUCCUUGUCCACUAUGUGCAUAUCAUGCUGACAACUUAGAUCAUUUGAUGUUGAACGGUGAGUGCUCUAAAUCUCAUUGGUAGAGUAACUUAAAUAUGCUCCAACUCCCCUCUAGUAUUCACGAUAGCACAACUGGAGAGAUUCCUUUACAAGAAGGGAUCAGGCCAUAGCAUUUGAUGCACUGUUCUCAACUGAAACCUGGUCUAUUUGGAAGGAGGAAACAACAGAUUUUGUAGAUUUGAAGCGCUCACCAGCAGGGAGCAGGCUAAGCAGACAUCCUACCCUAAAAACUGGACGUUUUUCACUGAAACCGACAACAUUCAGAACAUUUCAUCCAUGCUGAUCAUAUAGUGACAU
rnacentral:lncRNA from 1 species